GACGGUUCUCAAGUGACACACCCAAGAAUCAAGCUUCCUUCUCUCUGGUUCUGGGUGCGUCACCUGAGAACCGCA
rfam:Myotis brandtii contig170387, whole genome shotgun sequence.